rnacentral:rRNA from 1 species
ACCUAAGCAUAUCAAUAAGCGGAGGAAAAGAAACCAACAGGGAUUGCCUUAGUAACGGCGAGUGAAGCGGCAACAGCUCAAAUUUGAAAGCUGGCCCUUUCGGGGUCCGCGUUGUAAUUUGUAGAGGAUGAUUCGGCGAGGGCUCCCUCCUAAGUCCCCUGGAACGGGGCGUCAUAGAGGGUGAGAAUCCCGUAUGCGGUGGGUUGCCUUAGCCAUGUGAAUCUCCUUCGACGAGUCGAGUUGUUUGGGAAUGCAGCUCUAAAUGGGAGGUAAAUUUCUUCUAAAGCUAAAUACCGGCCAGAGACCGAUAGCGCACAAGUAGAGUGAUCGAAAGAUGAAAAGCACUUUGGAAAGAGAGUUAAAAAGUACGUGAAAUUGUUGAAAGGGAAGCGCUUGCAACCAGACUUGUCCGCAGUUGCUCAGCCGGUCUCCUGACCGGCGUACUCUUCUGCGGCCAGGCCAGCAUCAGUUCGGGCGGUCGGAUAAAGGCCUCGGGAAUGUAGCUCCUCUCGGGGAGUGUUAUAGCCCGGGGCGGAAUGCGGCCAGCCUGGACUGAGGAUCUCGCUUCGGCAAGGAUGCUGGCGUAAUGGUUGUAAGCGGCCCGUCUUGAAACACGGACCAAGGAGUCUAACAUCUAUGCGAGUGUUUGGGUGUCAAACCCAUACGCGUAAUGAAAGUGAACGGAGGUGGGAACCCGCAAGGGUGCACCAUCGGCCGAUCCUGAUGUCUUCGGAUGGAUUUGAGCAAGAGCAUAGCUGUUGGGACCCGAAAGAUGGUGAACUAUGCCUGAAUAGGGUGAAGCCAGAGGAAACUCUGGUGGAGGCUCGCAGCGGUUCUGACGUGCAAAUCGAUCGUCAAAUUUGGGUAUAGGGGCGAAAGACUAAUCGAACCAUUAAGAAAGUAGUUUUCGUUUUUU